UGAGGAACAUGACCUUCGGCGGGGGAGUAGCCGGCCCAACGGCCGGGUAAUACCGCGUACGACCACAUGGGGACAUCCCUGAGUGGUGAAAGCAGCAAUGCGCCGAUGGAGUGCCUCGCGGCCUAUCAGCUAGUUGGCGAGGUAACGGCUCACCAAGGCGACGACGGGUAGCUGGUCUGAGAGGAUGGCCAGCCACAUUGGGACUGAGANACGGCCCAGACUCUACCGGGAGG
rnacentral:rRNA from 1 species